rnacentral:rRNA from 1 species
GACGAACGCUGGCGGCGUGCCUAAUACAUGCAAGUCGAACGCUUCUUUCCUCCCGAGUGCUUGCACUCAAUUGGAAAGAGGAGUGGCGGACGGGUGAGUAACACGUGGGUAACCUACCCAUCAGAGGGGGGUAACACUUGGAAACAGGUGCUAAUACCGCAUAACAGUUUAUGCCGCAUGGCAUAAGAGUGAAAGGCGCUUUCGGGUGUCGCUGAUGGAUGGACCCGCGGUGCAUUAGCUAGUUGGUGAGGUAACGGCUCACCAAGGCCACGAUGCAUAGCCGACCUGAGAGGGUGAUCGGCCACACUGGGACUGAGACACGGCCCAGACUCCUACGGGAGGCAGCAGUAGGGAAUCUUCGGCAAUGGACGAAAGUCUGACCGAGCAACGCCGCGUGAGUGAAGAAGGUGUUCGGAUCGUAAAACUCUGUUGUUAGAGAAGAACAAGGACGUUAGUAACUGAACGUCCCCUGACGGUAUCUAACCAGAAAGCCACGGCUAACUACGUG